ensembl:snRNA U6 U6 spliceosomal RNA
GUGCUUGCUUCAGCAGCACAUAUACUAAAAUUAGAAUGAUACACAGAAGAUUAGUAGGGCCCCUGUGCAAGGAUGACAUGCAAAUUCGUGAAGUGUUCCAGAAACUU